AUUGAACGCUGGCGGCAUGCCUUACACAUGCAAGUCGAACGGUAACAGGGAGCUUGCUCCGCUGACGAGUGGCGAACGGGUGAGUAAUGUAUUGGAACGUACCUUUUAGUGGGGGAUAACGUAGCGAAAGUUACGCUAAUACCGCAUAUUCUCUGAGGAGGAAAGCAGGGGACCUUCGGGCCUUGCGCUAAUAGAGCGGCUGAUAUAAGAUUAGCUAGGUGGUGAGGUAAAGGCUCAGCAAGGCGACGAUCUGUAGCGGGUCGGAGAGGAUGAUCCGCCACACUGGAACUGGGACACGGUCCAGACUCCUACGGGAGGCAGCAGUGGGGAAUUUUGGACAAUGGGGGCAACCCUGAUCCAGCCAUGCCGCGUGAGUGAAGAAGGCCUUAUGGUUGUAAAGCACUUUAAGCGAGGAGGAGGCUCUUUUGGUUAAUACCCAAGAUGAGUGGACGUUACUCGCAGAAUAAGCACCGGCUAACUCUGUGCCAGCAGCCGCCGCAG
rnacentral:rRNA from 1 species